rnacentral:rRNA from 1 species
GAUGAACGCUGGCGGCGUGCCUAAUACAUGCAAGUCGAGCGAACAGACGAGGAGCUUGCUCCUCUGACGUUAGCGGCGGAUGGGUGAGUAACACGUGGAUAACCUACCUAUAAGACUGGGAUAACUUCGGGAAACCGGAGCUAAUACCGGAUAAUAUAUUGAACCGCAUGGUUCAAUAGUGAAAGGCGGUUUUGCUGUCACUUAUAGAUGGAUCCGCGCCGCAUUAGCUAGUUGGUAAGGUAACGGCUUACCAAGGCAACGAUGCGUAGCCGACCUGAGAGGGUGAUCGGCCACACUGGAACUGAGACACGGUCCAGACUCCUACGGGAGGCAGCAGUAGGGAAUCUUCCGCAAUGGGCGAAAGCCUGACGGAGCAACGCCGCGUGAGUGAUGAAGGUCUUCGGAUCGUAAAACUCUGUUAUUAGGGAAGAACAAAUGUGUAAGUAACUAUGCACGUCUUGACGGUACCUAAUCAGAAAGCCACGGCUAACUACGUG